UGCAAGUCGAACGAUGAAGCCCAGCUUGCUGGGUGGAUUAGUGGCGAACGGGUGAGUAACACGUGAGUAACCUGCCCUUAACUCUGGGAUAAGCCUGGGAAACUGGGUCUAAUACCGGAUAGGAGCGUCCACCGCAUGGUGGGUGUUGGAAAGAUUUAUCGGUUUUGGAUGGACUCGCGGCCUAUCAGCUUGUUGGUGAGGUAAUGGCUCACCAAGGCGACGACGGGUAGCCGGCCUGAGAGGGUGACCGGCCACACUGGGACUGAGACACGGCCCAGACUCCUACGGGAGGCAGCAGUGGGGAAUAUUGCACAAUGGGCGAAAGCCUGAUGCAGCGACGCCGCGUGAGGGAUGACGGCCUUCGGGUUGUAAACCUCUUUCAGUAGGGAAGAAGCGAAAGUGACGGUACCUGCAGAAGAAGCACCGGCUAACUACGUGCCAGCAGCCGCGGUAAUACGUAGGGUGCGAGCGUUAUCCGGAAUUAUUGGGCGUAAAGAGCUCGUAGGCGGUUUGUCGCGUCUGUCGUGAAAGUCCGGGGCUUAACCCCGGAUCUGCGGUGGGUACGGGCAGACUAGAGUGCAGUAGGGGAGACUGGAAUUCCUGGUGUAGCGGUGGAAUGCGCAGAUAUCAGGAGGAACACCGAUGGCGAAGGCAGGUCUCUGGGCUGUAACUGACGCUGAGGAGCGAAAGCAUGGGGAGCGAACAGGAUUAGAUACCCUGGUAGUCCAUGCCGUAAACGUUGGGCACUAGGUGUGGGGACCAUUCCACGGUUUCCGCGCCGCAGCUAACGCAUUAAGUGCCCCGCCUGGGGAGUACGGCCGCAAGGCUAAAACUCAAAGGAAUUGACGGGGGCCCGCACAAGCGGCGGAGCAUGCGGAUUAAUUCGAUGCAACGCGAAGAACCUUACCAAGGCUUGACAUGUUCUCGAUCGCCGUAGAGAUACGGUUUCCCCUUUGGGGGCGGGUUCACAGGUGGUGCAUGGUUGUCGUCAGCUCGUGUCGUGAGAUGUUGGGUUAAGUCCCGCAACGAGCGCAACCCUCGUUCCAUGUUGCCAGGCGCGUCGUGGUGGGGACUCAUGGGAGACUGCCGGGGUCAACUCGGAGGAAGGUGAGGACGACGUCAAAUCAUCAUGCCCCUUAUGUCUUGGGCUUCACGCAUGCUACAAUGGCCGGUACAAUGGGUUGCGAUACUGUGAGGUGGAGCUAAUCCCAAAAAGCCGGUCUCAGUUCGGAUUGGGGUCUGCAACUCGACCCCAUGAAGUCGGAGUCGCUAGUAAUCGCAGAUCAGCAACGCUGCGGUGAAUACGUUCCCGGGCCUUGUACACACCGCCCGUCAAGUCACGAAAGUUGGUAACACCCGAAGCCGGUGGCCUAACCCUUG
rnacentral:rRNA from 1 species